GUUGCCAUAGGCCAUAGGGAGUGGUAUUACUAGGAGGUGUGGCCUUAUUGGAAUAGGUUCUUUGUUGAAGGAGGUGUGUCACUAGGAGUCUGGUUUUGAGGUCUCAGAUGCCCAAGCCAUGACCAGUGUAGCAGUCUCUUCCUGAUGUCUGAAGACCCAGAUAUAGAAUUUUCAAGUCUCCAACACCAUUUCUGCCUGUGCCCCGCUAUGCUUCCUGCCUGAUGACAAUGGAAUAAACCUCUGAGCUGUUAAUCCUGAUGGAAUGUUUUCCUUUAUAAAACUUGCCGUGGUCAUAGUGUCUCUUUACAUCAAUAAAAGCCUAAGGCACGGGGCUUUACAAAACCCAUAGAGUUCUACCAGUUCAUAGUGUAUGUGAAAUUAGAAUUAUUGGUGCUUCCUGCAUAGAAAAAGAUCUCACACCUAGAACCAAAAGGGCAAAAUGGAAUCAGAAUUUUAUUUAUUCAUUGUAUUCUUUAACGUUUCCUUUUGAGAGUGAGGCUUGCUGUUCUGCUCAUGUCAUCUUUGAGCUCUUCCUGAUCCCAGCCUGUCCCUCGUCUAAGAACUCCUUUGGACAGGUGCCCCACCCUACUAGGAGCCUAGGAGGUUGUUCCCUGAGACAUAUACUUGCCCUGUGAUAUCCAAAGGUCCUCCAUGUGGCUCUUAGAGAUAGAGACCAGGCUCUGUGGGUGAUUGGAUAUAAAGUUGCUGUCAUGUCCCUAGAGUCAAUAGUCUUUUGACUUCCUGCCUUUGUGUAUCAAGUGGCCGGGGCCAGAGACAGUAGCCUAGCAAGACAUGGGUGUGAGAAGAUGCCAAGGGGCUCAGGGACUAAGAGGGACAUAUAGAAGCUCUGAGGGAGAGUCUGGAAGGAGGGAGUAGGGGCAGAGUCUGAGAUGUCCUGUUGUCCUGUUGGUAUUUUUGUCUUCUCUCCUCCUUAGAGCUGAGACUUGGCUCAGAGAGUGGCCUGCAAGUCAAGGAAGCAGUCUACGGUCUUGCCUGUGUGCACUGGCCCUGUAUUCAGAAAGUCUGUGCUUUAAAACAUAUUCUGUUAGCCUUUAUUGUCAACACAUCAGAGAGGAAAACCUAACUGAGGAACCACAGAGAUGAGAUCAGCCUAUGUAGGAUCAUCCUGAUUGCUAAUCAGUAUAUGAGGGAGGGCCUAGCCCACUGUGGGCAGCGCCAUUCCCCUGACAGUGGUUCUGUCCUAUAUAAAAAAUCUAAGCAGGAGCCUGCUAGCUAGCCAGCAGGGUUUCCUCUGGUUUCUGUUUUUCAAGUUCGUUCCUGCCUGAGUUCUGCCUCAACUUCCCUGAAUGAACCUGUAAUUAGAAAUAAAUCCUUACCUUCCCC
rnacentral:lncRNA from 1 species